AAAUUGUUGGGUCAAACCUUGUCUCCGAGGCAUGGCUACAGCGGCAGCAACAGCUUGCAUGCAACGGCAGUAGUAGUUGUUACUCAGCUAUGAAGUGAUAGAAGAUAGUAGUAGCUGCAUGUCGGCAGCAUGCAGCACCAGCGGCAGUAGUAAAAUUGCUUACCUAAGAAGUAAAUAAGCGGUUCGGCAGGUCGGCAACACUUGCGUUGCUUAGUAGUUAAGGUAAACUAGGUAGCUAAUGUUGAGCUGUACCUAGUGUCUAGGCUGGUACACGUAUGUGAUGAGGUGGGCAGGAGUAGAAAUAUCUCAGCUGCCAUAGUCGGUUGAAUCACCUAUAAAAGGACAUGAGUCCCUCGGUUGUAACUAAGGCCAUUCAGAUUCAAUACAAGGCAUUUCCUCCUUCUAGUACCACUGUGUAUGCUCCAAGCCUCAAGUGUUGUGUACUACUACUGCUGCUGCUACUACGUGUGUGUGAGAUACACUAGUGAGUGUGUAAGUAGUACGUGUGUGUGCUCAUCCGCCGGUCAUCUAUCAGUGUAUUCGAGUGCUAGCGAGUAGUUCUGGGCUAACAAUUGGCAUCAGAGCCUCUGGUUGUGGUAGCCAUGGCCGGUGGUAAAGGAGUUCAGCAGCGCACCACCUCGGGUGGUUCCCAGGCGCGGCCAUCACAGGACGGCUCCCAGUCGCCGGCUCCGGAGGAGCGGCGAGGGCGCAGCCGCUCCAGGCGCGGCCAUCGCGGUGAGGUCGUGGUUAGGGAGAUCGUGCGUGAGACCGCGGUCAGUGGUAGCGUACCCAUCACCUUCCCGAUGCUCACGCGCUCGAACUACAGCGAGUGGGCGUUGAUCAUGGAGUGCAACCUCCAUGCAGCGAGCCUCUGGGCUCCCAUGGAGGACGACCUGAUCGAGAGAAAGGAGGACAGGAAAGCCGUGGCAGCACUCAUGCGCGCCACGCCACUGGAGAUGCACGGCAUGCUCGCGGCGAAGGCAAGCGCCAAGGAGGCGUGGGAAGCCAUCCGUACCCAGCGCCUCGGCAGCAACCGCGUGCGCGAGGCGAACGCGCAGAAGCUGCGGGCGGACUUCGAGAACAUCGCCUUCAAGGAGGGCGAGCUCGUCGACGACUUCGCCAUGCGGAUCUCCAGCCUUGCGUCACUGCUCCGCGCGCUCGGCGACACCAUGGACGACGCGAGAGUCGUGCGGAAAUUUCUCCGCGUCGUGCCAUCUCGCUUCGCUCAGGUAGCGGUCUCCAUCGAGACCUUGCUUGACCUGAGUGAGCUCUCCAUCGAGGAGCUCACGGGCCGGUUGCGGGUGGUCGAGCACCGCCUUGACGACGGCCGCGAGAGCUUUGGCGGCGGACAACUCCUAUUCUCAAAGAAGUGGGAGGCCAGGAAGCGUCAAGGACGUGGUGGCGGUGCCCAGAGCAGCGGAGGCGGCACCGGCAGAGGCGGCGGUCGCACCCAGGGUGGAGCUGGACGAGAUGCCGGCAGCGACGACCGAGACAAGUGCCGAUAUUGCAGCAUCAAGGGCCACUGGGCCCGUGAGUGCCGCAAGAGGAUGGCUGACGAGGAUGUCGCAGCCGCGGCGAACCUCGUCCAGGCUGAAGAGGACGGUGGGCCAGCAAUGAUGAUGGCUUGCGUCGAGACCAUGCAGGAGGACCCAGCGCCUCCGGCGACCAUGGUCCCGACAAGCAUCGAAGCCGUGCAGGAGGGCGCAGCACCUCCGGCGACCACGGUGCCGGCAACCGUUAAGUCCGUGCGGGAGGCACGGAGCUCUUCAAGUAAUCCCCUCUCGACAUCGGUAGCGCUCUCCUCGGCAACAACGUUCUGGGAGGCUACGAUUGGUAGGAGAUGAAGACCCGGGUGUGGGGAAGCCACACCCCGGCAACCACGUUCCCUGCGACGCUGGUCAAGCCCGUGCAAGUUGGCACGGCAAUCGCGGCCCCGACAUCCUCGGGACCCGACAAGCCCGUGCAAGUUGGCACGGCAAAGGCGUACCCGACAUCCUCGGGACCCAAUAAGCCCGUGUCAGGAGGCACGGCAACGACGCAUAUGGUGGGCCACAUCCCAACCAUGAUGCUGGUGACCAGUGAGACCGUGCAAGAGGCACGACACUCUCAGGUCGGCCACACCCCGACAACCAGGUUCUCGGGGUUCUACAAGCCCGUGUGGGCAACACGACACUCUUCGACAAGCCUCAACUGGAAGGCAAUGAAGAGACGGUCAUGGGGCGGCAAGGCCUCGACCGAGACUAUGGCGACCAUAGAGUCCGUGCAGGAGGCACAACACUCUCUGGUCGGCUAUGCCGCGACCCCGACGCGCUCGGGGUCCAUCGGGACGCACGGGACUCUGUAGUUGGGCACGACCCGGCUACGCUGGUGGCGACCGUCGAGACCGUGCAGGAGGCACGGUGCUCUAUGGUCGGCCACACCGCAGCCCCGACGCACUCGGGGUCUAUCGAGUCCGUGCGGGAGGCACGACUCACGAUUGUCAGGGGAGACCCGACAAGGAAGUCUGAUGGGAAGAGCACCAAGGACUCCGCUACCCUGAGAGGAGCCACUCCGGUCAGUGUGGCGUCCGGCACAACGACCCCGGGAAGGGAGUUCCCGAGCAGUGCGGCGUCCGUCACAACGACCCCGGGAAGGGAGUUCCCGAGCAGUGCGGCGUCCGACACAACGACCCCAGGAAGGGAGUUCCUGGGUAGUGCGAUGUCCGACAAGUCAUCCCCGAGAAGGGAGUUCCCGGGUAGCAUGACGUCUGACACGAUGACCGCGGGAAGGGAGUUCCAUGGCAUUGUGACGUCAGGAACUACGACCCCAGGAACACUGACGCCCACAGGCGAGGUGGUUCCCUGGCAGUUCAUGUCCCUGCCAACAUCGCGGUCGGACUUGUUAGAUGCCAACAAAAAUUGUGGCGAUCCACACAGGUUCCGAAGCCUAGGUGGACCUUCUCGGCGAACCUGCGGGACGACCGCAGCAUCCCGAGAUCAAGAAGCACGAGUAAGGCGUAUGGGCUACACAAAGCCUGAGAAGACGGACAUCCCGACGAAGGCACUUGAUCGCAUUCGGUUCCAGGAACCACGCGACAAGAUUGGGAUCAUGGAAACAAGCUCCUUCGACAAGGUUGAGGAGGAGAUUGUUGGGUCAAACCUUGUCUCCGAGGCAUGGCUACAGCGGCAGCAACAGCUUGCAUGCAACGGCAGUAGUAGUUAUUACUCAGCUAUGAAGUGAUAGAAGAUAGUAGUAGCUGCAUGUCGGCAGCAUGCAGCACCAGCGGCAGUAGUAAAAUUGCUUACCUAAGAAGUAAAUAAGCGGUUCGGCAGGUCGGCAACACUUGCGUUGCUUAGUAGUUAAGGUAAACUAGGUAGCUAAUGUUGAGCUGUACCUAGUGUCUAGGCUGGUACAUGUAUGUGAUGAGGUGGGCAGGAGUAGAAAUAUCUCAGCUGCCAUAGUCGGUUGAAUCACCUAUAAAAGGACAUGAGUCCCUCGGUUGUAACUAAGGCCAUUCAGAUUCAAUACAAGGCAUUUCCUCCUUCUAGUACCACCGUGUGUGCUCCAAGCCUCAAGUGUUGUGUACUACUACUACUGCUGCUGCUACGUGUGUGUGAGAUACACUAGUGAGUGUGUAAGUAGUACGUGUGUGUGCUCAUCCGCCGGUCAUCUAUCAGUGUACUCGAGUGCUAGCGAGUAGUUCUGGGCUAACAUA
rnacentral:lncRNA from 1 species